AGCGAACGCUGGCGGCAGGCUUAACACAUGCAAGUCGAACGGAUCCUUCGGGAUUAGUGGCGGACGGGUGAGUAACACGUGGGAACGUGCCCUUUGGUUCGGAACAACUCAGGGAAACUUGAGCUAAUACCGGAUGUGCCCUUCGGGGGAAAGAUUUAUCGCCAUUGGAGCGGCCCGCGUCUGAUUAGCUAGUUGGUGAGGUAAAGGCUAACCAAGGCGACGCUCAGUAGCUGGUCUGAGAGAAUGAUCAGCCACAUUGGGACUGAGACACGGCCCAAACGCCUACGGGAGGACGCAGUGGGGAAUCUUGCGCAAUGGGCGAAAGCCUGACGCAGCCAUGCCGCGUGAAUGAUGAAGGUCUUAGGAUUGUAAAAUCCUUUCACCGGUGAAGAUAAUGACUGUAGCCGGAGAAGAAGCCCCGGCUAACUUCGUGCCAGCAGCCGCGGUAAAAC
rnacentral:rRNA from 1 species